UACGGGGGUGCGAGCGUUUGUCCGGAAUCACUGGGGCGUAAAGGGCGCGUAGGUGGCGUGAUAAGGGUGUGGUGAAAGCCCGGGGACUCAACCCCCGGGUCUUGCCAUGCCGACUGUCAGGCUAGAGUACUGUAGGGGCAGGCGGAAAUUCCGGGGGUGUAGCGGGUGGAAUGCGUAGGAGAAUCCGGAGGAAGACCGGUGGCGAAGGCGGGUC
rnacentral:rRNA from 1 species